UGCCAGACUCCUACGGGAGGCAGCAGUGGGGAAUAUUGCACAAUGGGGGAAACCCUGAUGCAGCGACGCCGCGUGAGCGAUGAAGUAUUUCGGUAUGUAAAGCUCUAUCAGCAGGGAAGAAAAUGACGGUACCUGACUAAGAAGCCCCGGCUAACUACGUGCCAGCAGCCGCGGUAAUACGUAGGGGGCAAGCGUUAUCCGGAUUUACUGGGUGUAAAGGGAGCGUAGACGGUUCUGCAAGCCAGAUGUGAAAGUCCGGGGCUCAACCCCGGGACUGCAUUUGGAACUGUAAGGCUAGAGUGCCGGAGAGGCAGGCGGAAUUCCUAGUGUAGCGGUGAAAUGCGUAGAUAUUAGGAGGAACACCAGUGGCGAAGGCGGCUUGCUGGACAGUAACUGACGUUGAGGCUCGAAAGCGUGGGGAGCAAACAGGAUUAGAUACCCUUGUAGC
rnacentral:rRNA from 1 species